rnacentral:rRNA from 1 species
AGCAGUAGCCGCGGUAAUACGGAGGGUGCAAGCGUUAAUCGGAAUUACUGGGCGUAAAGCGCACGCAGGCGGUUUGUUAAGUCAGAUGUGAAAUCCCCGGGCUCAACCUGGGAACUGCAUUUGAAACUGGCAAGCUAGAGUCUCGUAGAGGGGGGUAGAAUUCCAGGUGUAGCGGUGAAAUGCGUAGAGAUCUGGAGGAAUACCGGUGGCGAAGGCGGCCCCCUGGACGAAGACUGACGCUCAGGUGCGAAAGCGUGGGGAGCAAACAGGAUUAGAUACCCCAGUAGUCCCUGUCUCUUAUAC